rnacentral:SRP_RNA from 1 species
CGGUGGGUCUUAGGCGGGGGGCUAGGGGUCCCUUGCACCGUAAACCCUCUAUAUGACGGGCUGACAGCUGAGGCUGAGGCGUUUAAGGCCGCUAAGACCCUCAUUUCCGAAGCCUUGACUAUCCGUCCCUUGGGGCUAGCGGUUGUUGGGCAGCUUCCGUAGGGAAGCCGUCUCCAAUGUUUGCCAGGCGAAUCCGGCCAGGCCCGGGAGGGAGCAACCUAAGUCUGGACGUUUGGCGCUCAAGGGGUGCGGGUACGAGUGUAGGGUUUGAUGGGUCAAGCGGAUUCUAGACGUCGAACCCCAGUGGCCCAUCG